ensembl:scaRNA
GUUUUGCAGCCUUGUCUCUGCUCCUGGUGAAACUCGUCACCUGUGGGCUCCAAAAGGCUGCAGAAAGCAACUCCAGGGAUUAAAAGGCAUGGCUUCUGGAGGAUCUGGAGCUUCAUGUGCGAUGUUCCUUGGACAGUCUCCUGCUUUCCACGGUGGUGAUGACCCUGAUCAGUGGCUCUCAUCUUUCUUGAGGCAGGUAGAGGAAAUCCUGGCAGCCAGAUAUUGUUUGAACAAGGGAGAGCUUUUCCUGUCAGACACUGUCAGCUGUCACACUG